rnacentral:rRNA from 1 species
GUCGAGCGGACAGAAGGGAGCUUGCUCCCGGAUGUUAGCGGCGGACGGGCUGUAGUAACACGUGGGUAACCUGCCUGUAAGACUGGGAUAACUCCGGGAAACCGGAGCUAAUACCGGAUAGUUCCUUGAACCGCAUGGUUCAAGGAUGAAAGACGGUUUCGGCUGUCACUUACAGAUGGACCCGCGGCGCAUUAGCUAGUUGGUGGGGUAAUGGCUCACCAAGGCGACGAUGCGUAGCCGACCUGAGAGGGUGAUCGGCCACACUGGGACUGAGACACGGCCCAGACUCCUACGGGAGGCAGCAGUAGGGAAUCUUCCGCAAUGGACGAAAGUCUGACGGAGCAACGCCGCGUGAGUGAUGAAGGUUUUCGGAUCGUAAAGCUCUGUUGUUAGGGAAGAACAAGUGCGAGAGUAACUGCUCGCACCUUGACGGUACCUAACCAGAAAGCCACGGCUAACUACGUGCCAGCAGCCGCGGUAAUACGUAGGUGGCAAGCGUUGUCCGGAAUUAUUGGGCGUAAAGGGCUCGCAGGCGGUUUCUUAAGUCUGAUGUGAAAGCCCCCGGCUCAACCGGGGAGGGUCAUUGGAAACUGGGAAACUUGAGUGCAGAAGAGGAGAGUGGAAUUCCACGUGUAGCGGUGAAAAUGCGUAGAGAUGUGGAGGAACACCAGUGGCGAAGGCGACUCUCUGGUCCUGUAAACUGACGCUGAGGAGCGAAGC